GGGGAUGUAGCUCAGUCGGUUAGAGCGGUGGCUUGAAAACCCACAGGUCGAAGGUUCGAUUCCUUCCUACCCCACCA
rnacentral:tRNA from 1 species